GUAACUGAGUUUAUUGAUGAGUCCAGGGCUCUGGGGUGGCCCUGGCGAGGAGGGGCACAUGACGAGAUGGACACUCAGUGCAGCGUUUGAGGUCUGCUCGGUGGUCGGAGCUUCCAGACUAGGAGAGGGGAGGGCGGGGCCCCACACACUCAGGCCCCCACCCAGUCACCCCCAGACAGAGAUGGACAAUGGCAGGUGCUGAGGGGGCGCGGGCCGAGGAGGCCAGGCCACUCGGCAGCUCACACACCCGCUCCGAGACCCGGGGCUGGUUCCAGGACUCCAAACCAGUGCAAACGACUUAGUGCAAAUUAAUUCAAGAAGGACGGGGACACAGAGUCCUGGAUGCCCCGAGUCUUCUGAGCAAAGGAGAGGAAAGAAGAGAAGAGAAAAGACAGAGGAAAAAAAGGAGGAAGGGGAGAGAGGGAGGCUGGUGGUGUCUCCAGGGCGCAGCAGGGGACUCGCUUGAGAUGCUCUUUCCACCUGGGACGGCCCCGGCCCCCCAGCCCCGCCCGGUCCCAGCUCCCCCUGAGACGUGUCACCUGUUCUGCCCGCCUUGCCUGUCGUCCGCCGCCACUCUGCCGGGGGGUCAGCCGCUUCGCCUCGCCGGCCCUCGCUCCCCAGAACCUCCGGAUGCAGGAGGCCAGAGAAACAAGGCCUGGGGAGGGAAGGGGACUCACCUGGCCCGGCAGACGGCUGUCCUCACCUGCCCACAGCUGCCAGCUACACCUCCGCUGCCCCAGGCCCCGGGGCGAACCUCUCUCCAGCUCCCCCUGACCACCAGCCGCCACGACCUGAAACCAAAAUUGACCGGGAUGAAUGCCUGGCUCCCCCCUCUUCCCUCCGCACCCCAGCUCGGGCCUGUCACCCCCCAUGCCGAUGUUGCCCUGCCUAUAGGGCACCUGGGAGCCCGGACCUCAACCCCGCCAGGCUCCCAGGUGCCAGCCAGCCCUGCCCAAGCCAGCCCCUCAACCCUGCGCCGCUCCUGCCAGGCUCCAGAUUUCCAAGGUGGUCCUUGGCCCGCGCAAACGCCCCUGCACCCCGCUUCCCCAUCUUCCCCUGGUUGCCCCCGGUACCCCCGCUUCCCUGGUUACCCCUCGGCUCCCCCACUUCCCCAGUUUCCCCCAACCCCCCCAUCCCUCCCACCACCCCCCUCCCUCACCCU
rnacentral:lncRNA from 1 species